UGGAGGCAGCAGUAAGGAAUCUUGCACAAUGGGGGAAACCCUGAUGCAGCGACGCCGCGUGAGCGAUGAAGCCCUUCGGGGUGUAAAGCUCUUUCGGCAGGGACGAUGAUGACGGUACCUGCAGAAGCAGCUGCGGCUAACUACGUGCCAGCAGCCGCGGUAAUACGUAGGCAGCAAGCGUUGUUCGGAGUUACUGGGCGUAAAGGGUGCGUAGGCGGUCCUUUAAGUUUGGUGUGAAAUCUCCCGGCUCAACUGGGAGGGUGCGCCGGAUACUGAGGGACUAGAGUGCGGGAGGGGAGAGUAGAAUUCCUGGUGUAGCGGUGAAAUGCGUAGAUAUCAGGAGGAAUACCGGUGGUGUAAACGGCUCUCUGGACCGUAACUGACGCUGAGGCACGAAAGCGUGGGUAGCAAACAGGAUUAGAUACCCUGGU
rnacentral:rRNA from 1 species